rnacentral:rRNA from 1 species
UACGGAGGGUGCGAUCGUUAAUCGGAAUUACUGGGCGUAAAGCGUCCGUAGGCGGCUUGUUAAGUCUGAUGUGAAAGCCCUGGGCUUAACCUGGGAACGGCAUUGGAUACUGGCGAGCUAGAGUUCGGUAGAGGGUGGUGGAAUUCCCGGUGUAGCGGUGAAAUGCGUAGAGAUCGGGAGGAACACUGGUGGCGAAGGCGGCCACCUGGACCGAGACUGACGCUGAGGGACGAAAGCGUGUGGAGCAAACAGG